UCACGGUUCGAAUUACGUCUCGGCUCAGGUCAGAACUUGUUUUUGGAGUGUAUUGGUUCAGUUUUGGUUGGUUCAAAAAUGCUUCGGAUUCGAUUCAAGCUCGACAAAAUUCUGGGUUGGUUCGUGUUCGGUGUUCGAGUCAAAGAUCGGUCAACAUAAGUCAACAGCGGUCAACCGUAGUCAACGACAAUUAACUCGGUCAACACUUGGUCAACUGAGGGAAAACUUAGUCAACACAACCCGGAAUACUAUAGAUGCACGCUAGCGAGUUCACAUUCUUGGAAUGACAUCACGGAAUCACGUUAAGCUAGCUUUGCACAGGAAUAUUCAGGAAUACUAUAGAUGCACGCUAGCGAGUUCACAUUCUUGGAAUGACAUCACGGAAUCACGUUAA
rnacentral:lncRNA from 1 species